rnacentral:misc_RNA from 1 species
GAUGAAGAACGUAGCGAAAUGCGAUACUUGGUGUGAAUUGCAGAAUCCCGUGAACCAUCGAGUCUUUGAACGCAAGUUGCGCCCGAAGCCAUUAGGCCGAGGGCACGCCUGCCUGGCGUCACACGUCGUUGCCCCCCCAUCUACUCCUUCGGGAUUGCGGGGGGCGGAUGAUGGCCUCCCGUGCGCCUCGCCGCGCGGUUGGCAUAAAUGCCAAGUCCUCGGCGACGCACGCCACGACAAUCGGUGGUUGCGAAACCUCGGUUGCCCGUCGUGUGCGGUCGUCGCGCAUCGAGGGCUCGAAAAAAUUGCCGGGUUCCGGCUCGGCUUUCAACGCGACCCCAGGUCAGGCGGGGUUACCCGCUGAAUUUAAGCAUAUCAAUAAGCGGAGGA